rnacentral:misc_RNA from 1 species
CAGAGUAUUCUUACUCCCAAACCCUUUGUGAACCUUACCUAUCGUUGCUUCGGCGGGAUCGCCCCGGGCCGCCCCUUCACGGGGGCCUCCGGAACCAGGCGCCCGCCGGAGAACCCAAACUCUUGUUUUAUAUGGUUUUCUCCUCUGAGUGGAUUAUAAACAAAUAAAUCA